ACGGGAGGCAGCAGUGGGGAAUAUUGGACAAUGGGGGAAACCCUGAUCCAGCGACGCCGCGUGAGUGAAGAAGUAUUUCGGUAUGUAAAGCUCUUUAAGCAGGAAAGAAAAUGACGGUACCUGCAGAAUAAGCCCCGGCUAACUACGUGCCAGCAGCCGCGGUAAUACGUAGGGGGCAAGCGUUAUCCGGAUUUACUGGGUGUAAAGGGAGCGUAGACGGCGAUGCAAGUCUGAUGUGAAAGCCCGGGGCUCAACCCCGGCACUGCAUUGGAAACUGUGUUGCUAGAGUGCAGGAGAGGUAAGUGGAAUUCCUAGUGUAGCGGUGAAAUGCGUAGAUAUUAGGAGGAACACCAGAGGCGAAGGCGGCUUACUGGACUGUAACUGACGUUGAGGCUCGAAAGCGUGGGGAGCAAACAGGAUUAGAUACCCUGGUA
rnacentral:rRNA from 1 species